rnacentral:rRNA from 1 species
UACGUAGGGGGCGAGCGUUGUCCGGAUUCAUUGGGCGUAAAGAGCUCGUAGGCGGUUCGGCAAGUCGGGUGUGAAAACUCCAGGCUCAACCUGGAGACGCCACCCGAUACUGCUGUGACUCGAGUCCGGUAGGGGACCACGGAAUUCCUGGUGUAGCGGUGAAAUGCGCAGAUAUCGGGAGGAACACCGGUGGCCAAGGCGGGUCUCUGGGCAGUAACUGACGCUGAGGAGCGAAAGCGUGGGGAGCGAACAGG